GAAGGUGGAUUCUUACCGAGUUUCUGACAUCAGGCAGAGUGCUCCAGAGAGGAAAGACAAUGGGGAAGAGGAAAAGGGCUGCAAUGAGGUCUGAGCUAAGAAGAGGAAGAUGGGAUGUGCUAUGGGACAGAGGAAGCCUGUAACUCAUGUUUGCUGCCCUUGCAGUCAGAGAGACAGCAGAGAUGUCACCACUUCCAGGGACCCCAUCAACAGCAGCUGCCACCACAGCAACAAGGCCUCUCCAGGCCAUGGGGCAGCAAUUCAACAGCAGCAGAGGAAUCAGUGUUCAGUGUUCACUAUGGGAAAGGACAGACCCCACCAGCCUCUGCUAUGACAGCCCGGGAAGAAAUUUAGCCACGAGACCAGGUUAUUCUCAGUGUGAGGACAGGCGAUUAUCCCCUUCACAAACUCCUGGACUGAAGCACCAGCCAUGGGCACGGAUCACCCUCACGGCACUGCAGCGGGUAAAUCACACUUAUAAACACUGUUAAACAAGGAGCUGCAUGUUGAGGCAUCUCCUGUGGCUGAC